GAUGAACGCUGGCGGCGUGCCUAAUACAUGCAAGUCGAGCGAACAGACGAUGAGCUUGCGCCUCUGACGUUAGCGGCGGACGGGUGAGUAACACGUGGAUAACCUACCUAUAAGACUGGGAUAACUUCGGGAAACCGGAGCUAAUACCGGAUAAUAUAUUGAACCGCAUGGAUCAAUAGUGAAAGACGGUUUUGCUGUCACUUAUAGAUGGAUCCGCGCCGCAUUAGCUAGUUGGUAAGGUAACGGCUUACCAAGGCAACGAUGCGUAGCCGACGUGAGAGGAUGAUCGGCCAGACGGGAACUGAGACACGGUCCAGACGCCGACGGGAGGCAGAAGUGGGGAAUAUUGGACAAUGGGCGCAAGCCUGACCCAGCCAUACCGCGUGGGUGAAGAAGGCCUUCGGGUUGUAAAGCCCUUUUGUUGGGAAAGAAAAGCAGCAGGUGAAUACCCCGCUGUUCUGACGGUACCCAAAGAAUAAGCACCGGCUAACUUCGUG
rnacentral:rRNA from 1 species